AUGUCUUGGGAAAUCAAGAACGCCCUCGAGGAGGAUUCUGGGAAACUGACGUUGAGCCUCCUGAGGGGCAUGCGCGAGGGUGGCUACUAUCCGACUUGGAACCACGGCCAUUUUGGCUCUGCGGCCCAUGUAUUCCUAUCCCCUGGUUCCAGUCUAGGUGGUCCAGGCUCUGUUCUAACAGGGCAUUUGUUCUGUAAUUCUGCAUUAUUAGUUCUCCGCUUCCUCCCAGAGGAGACUCAGAAAUGGGAGACAGUUGUAUUGAAAACUGCACAUUACUUCAGAUCAACAGGAGGAUGAACACUCUGGUACACGGGAUGAUUAUUUAGGUGAGAUUUUUUUCAAGGCUCCAUGACCAACCAAAAUUUGAAGUGUUCACUGUUGUCACAUUCAGGCUGUUUCGUAGGAAGAAAUUAAAUCAAUCUGAAUUUUGGUUUUCUGAAAUUUCGAGGGAAAAGAAACAAGCAAAAAAAUAGCAAGAAUCUAGCUAGGUAGACUGCUUGGGAGCUGGCAGUCUCCUUCACUGAUAUCUUUCACCUGCACUUUUAGGAUGUUGCUGUUCUUCAGUCGCUAAGUCCUAUCUGACUCUUUGUGACCCAUCGACUGUAGCCUGCCAGGCUCCUCUGUCCUCCACUAUCUCCCUGAUUUUGCUCAAAGUCAUGUCCAUUGAGGCAGUGAUGCUAUAAUAACUCGCAGGAUACUUAUUUAUAAAUUAAUUAGGGUAAAAUGUGUUCUUAAUGGAAGAUAUUAAUCUACCUUUAGAUUCAGCUGGUAAUUAACCUGAGUGAGUUAGGAAGGGUCACAUGCUGUAAUUCUCCACAGGCAUCUUGUGAACAUAUUGAGUUUUAUGUAAUACAAAGAAUAAAUCCCCUUUAGUACCUUACAUU
rnacentral:lncRNA from 1 species